rnacentral:rRNA from 1 species
AGUAACACGUAAGGAACCUACCGAUAAGCGGGGGACAACAUCCGGAAACGGGUGCUAAUACCGCAUAGGAAGUUUGUUCGCAUGAACAAACUUAGAAAGAUGGCUCUGCUAUCACUUAUCGAUGGCCUUGCGGUGCAUUAACUAGUUGGCGAGGUAACGGCUCACCAAGGUGAUGAUGCAUAGCCGACCUGAGAGGGUAAUCGGCCACAUUGGGACUGAGACACGGCCCAGACUCCUACGGGAGGCAGCAGCC